CCUACGGGAGGCAGCAGUGAGGAAUAUUGGUCAAUGGUCGGGAGCCUGAACCAGCCAAGCCGCGUGAAGGAUGAAUGUACAACGUGUCGUAAACCUCUUUUGUCAAGGAACAAAGUCGGGGACGCGUGCCCUUAUGAGUGUACCUUAUGAAAAAGCAUCGGCUAACUCCGUGCCAGCAGCCGCGGUAAUACGGAGGAUGCGAGCGUUAUCCGGAUUUAUUGGGUUUAAAGGGUGCGGAGACGGGUUGUUAAGUCAGUGGUGAAAGGCCGCGGCUCAACCGCAGCACUGCAGUUGAUACUGGCAGUCUUGAGUAGGAGUGAGGUAGGCGGAAUGCGUGGUGUAGCGGUGAAAUGCAUAGAUAUCGCGAAGAACUCCGAUUGCGAAGGCAGCAUGCUGACUCCACACUGACGCUGAGGCACGAAAGCGUGGGUAUCGAACAGGAUUAGAUACCCCUGUAGUC
rnacentral:rRNA from 1 species